GAUGAACGCUGGCGGCGUGCCUAAUACAUGCAAGUCGAGCGAACAGACGAGGAGCUUGCUCCUUUGACGUUAGCGGCGGACGGGUGAGUAACACGUAGGUAACCUACCUAUAAGACUGGGAUAACUUCGGGAAACCGGAGCUAAUACCGGAUAAUAUUUCGAACCGCAUGGUUCGAUAGUGAAAGAUGGCUUUGCUAUCACUUAUAGAUGGACCUGCGCCGUAUUAGCUAGUUGGUAAGUUAACGGCUUACCAAGGCAACGAUACGUAGCCGACCUGAGAGGUUGAUCAGCCACACUGGAACGGAGACACGGUCCCGACUCCUACGGGAGGCAGAGGUAGGGAAUCUUCCGCAAUGGGCGAAAGCCUGACGGAGCAACGCCGCGUGAGUGAUGAAGGUCUUCGGAUCGUAAAACUCUGUUAUUAGGGAAGAACAAACGUGUAAGUAACUGUGCACGUCUUGACGGUACCUAAUCAGAAAGCCACGGCUAACUACGUG
rnacentral:rRNA from 1 species